UAGUUCCCAUACGAUCACCGAAGUUAAGCAACGUCGAGCUUGGUCAGUACCUAGAUGGGUGACCAAUAGGGAAUACCAGGUGAUGUAA